CUUCCACCAUCAUCUCUCAAAACUCCUCCACAACCAACAAAUCCUGGAUUCCCAAGAGAUUAGCCAUCAAUAUUAAACUUCAUUUUUUUAACCGGGGCAAGCCUCUAGUGCACUAACAGGGGCUUUUUUUUUUUUUUACUUGUAAUUGUUGUAAUUGGAAAGUCAGCAAAGAGCAAGAAUCCUGGACUCUUAGUACCUUUUUUGGUUUUAACAAACCAUUAAAAUCGUGUAACCAAUGAUUCUUAACAUGAUUUAAAAUCGUGUUAGCCAGCGUUCUCAAUCUACGACAGCUGGCUAACACGUUGGGAUGUAAAAUAGCCUCACUUCCUAUGAUUUACUUGGCCUCUGUUGGGGGCUCCUUCGAGAGCGCCUUCUAUAUGGGACACGGUGGUUGGGAAAGUAGAGUGGAGACUGGCGGGAUGGAAAAUGAUGUAUUUGUCAAAAGGUGAGUGGAGUGGGGGAGGAGUUCAAGUUUCACCUAGUCAAGUGGGAGACGAUAUGCCGCCUUAUUUCUAAUGGUGGUUUGGGCAUCAAAAGUAUGAGGAUCUUUAAUCGGGCGUUACUUGACAAGUGGUUGUGGAGAUAUCAUAAGGAAUUAGAAGUCCUAUGGAAAUUGGUGAUUGAGAGCAAAUAUGGAGAUUUAUGUUGGGGGGAUAGUUCUCUAAAGAAGUAAGGCGGUUGUAUGGAGUGGGUUUGUGGAAACACGUUCGAAGAGGAUGGGAGGUCUUGAGUAGACACACUAGACUUCUUCUGGGUGAGGGCUCAAGGAUUAAAUUCUGGAGAGAUAUUUGGUGCGGUAAUCGUACUUUACAAGAUAUAUUCUCUUCACUGUUCAAUAUUGCUAGUGCUAAAAAUGUAUCGGUGGUGGAAGUUAUGGAGAUAUCUGGGGGGCAGAUCCGUUGGAAUAUCACCUUUAGUAGGGCGGCACAAGACUGGAAAAUGAGCAGCUUUGCAUAUUUUUACAGCCUUUUGUACUCUAUAUUACCAAGCACUCAGCAGGAAGGCUUAAUGUGGUGGAUACCUGAUGGUAAAUGGGUAUUCUCGGUUCGCUCCUUUUACAAGGCUCUUGCACAAGAACCUCAAACUCAGUUUCCGUGGAGAAGGCUUUGGAGACAUAAGAUGCCUCCCAAAACAGCUUUUUUUGUGUGGACAACCUCGUUGGGGAAGAUUCUCACAAUCGACAACUUGAGGAAACGAAGGGUAAUCAUUGUAGAUUGGUGUUGCAUGUGUAGAGAAGGGGGAGAGUCUGUAAGCCAUCUCAUACUACAUUGUGAGACCGCUCGGGUAUUAUGGAAUGGGGUGUUCAGUAGAUUAGACUUGUCUUGAGCUAUGCCGGAGACAGUGGUGGCAAUGUUGGCCAGUUGGACAAAUCUAAGAGGCAUGCAACAAAUUAAAGUUGUCUAGAAGAUGAUCCCUAUAUGCAUUAUGUGGUGUUUAUGGCAGGAACGUAAUGACAGGACAUUUGAAGACAAGGAGAGAUCGCAGGAGCAGCUGAAAGUUUUUUUCUUUAGAACACUUUGUACUUGGGCCAUUGCUGUUGACUUCAAUGGCAUGGACCUACAUGAUUUUCUUGUCUAUAAUGUGCCCACGUAGCUUAAGGCAUGCUUUUGUUUUUACUGUUUAGAACAAUGUAGAUGGCUUUGCCUAUUCUUUGAUCAAUAAAAUUUCUUUACUGGUGGGAGUUGGUACCGGUGGGAGAGGUCCAUAAUAUUCAUCACUUGGCUGAAUUUCUGGGGUGUAAAGUUACAUUUCUGCCCAUAAAAUAUUUGGGACUACUGCUAGGGGCAUCUUUUAAGGCCAAACACAUUUGGGACGGGGUGAUCGAGAAGAUAGAGAGGAAGUUGGCAGCUUGGAAAAGGACUUAUUUAUCUAAAGGGGGUAGGAUUACUCUUAUAAAGAGUACUCUCUCUAAUAUCCCCACCUACUUCCUUUCUUUAUUCCCUUUACCAGUUGGUGUGGCCAACCGUAUUGAAAAAUUGUAUAGAGAUUUUCUAUGGGGUGGCUUGGGAGAGGAGUCUAAAACUCCCUUAGUGAGUUGGAAAAAAAUUUGUUGCCCGAUUGGUGAUGGAGGACUGGGUAUUCAUAGUCUAUGUAGUUUUAAUAAGGCGUUGUUGGGAAAGUGGCUAUGGAGAUACCAUGGGGAAGAGGAAGCGUUGUGGAGGGGGGUGAUUGAUUAUAAGUAUGGUAGUGAUUGGGGAGGAUGGUGUACCAAGGAGAGUAGGGAUUCAUAUGGAGUGAGUCUAUGGAAGUUUAUUAGGAAAGGUUGGGGUCGCUUCCUAAAACAAGUUAACUUCUCGGUUGGUGAUGGUUCAAAAAUCAGAUUUUGGUCUGAUGUUUGGUGUGGGGAUAUUGAAUUGUCUCGAGCAUUUCCGGUUGUUUUCAGAUUGGCGACUAAUAAGCAAGCUUCAGUUUCCAAGGUGAUGGGUUUUUCCAAUGGAGUGGUGCUUUGGGAUGUAGGCUUCUCCAGAUCUGCCCAAGAUUGGGAAGUAGAGGAGGUUACUGAAUUUUUUAGACAGUUGUAUUCAGUGGAGAUAAGAAGACAGGCAGGGACCAACUAUGUUGGAGACAAACAGCCUCUAAAAAAUUUACAGUUCGGUCAUUUUAUAAGGUGAUGCUAAAUCAGCACCAUAUUGGCUUUCCUUGGAAGAGGAUUUGGAAGGCUCAUGUUCUGUCAAGAGUGGCUUUUUUUAUAUGGACAGCAGCAAUAGGGAAUAUUCAGACUAUAGAUAACUUGAGAAAGCGCGGAAUGAUUGUUUUGGAUUCGUGCUUUAUGUG